UGAUCUACGCAGAAAUGAUUAGAUAGUAUAGGUAUACAUGCAUAUCUUCAUACGACGUUCGCAUUUAUCUAAGUAAGUAUCUUCAAUCAUUUCGUUGUGAUUGAUUUCAUUUAGAUUCUUAUCAAGUAUCUACCUAACUUAUCAUUUGCGGACAUAUUAAAUACCUACCAACGAAUCAUUCGAUUCAAGAAUUUUGAAUGCGAUGCAUUCUUGUUCUUAUGUUAGUUCAUUUACAAAAUAACGACGUUUGUGUGGACCCGUUUUUCCAAACAACUGUUCCAUGUUGUUUCUAAGAUCAAUAUGAAGAAACGAUCACCAUUUGUUGGCUCAAAUUUGGUAAAUUCAUUCUCACCACCACAAGACCAAAAUAAGAUAUGUGAAUCUUCCUUUACCAAAACUGGAUCUUAAUUGGGAAAUAUUCAAAAUCCAAAUCUGACCUGUCUGUACAUUAAUGAAACGCAAUACCUAUGAAAAUUGGUUAUAAUGAAUGAAUCAGCUAGAAGAAGAUUCAUAGCAGGAUCCAGACGUUUCAGGUAAUCAUUGUUUCUGCAAAUGACAGAACAAUUUUUCAGAGGCAGACAAUAUUUAUCAAAAGGAUUGAAUUUGCUACAAUUGAAGAAUUGAGGAAAAAAUACCACCAUAUGAUAGCAGCGAUUGCACGAGAAUACGAAGUGCAUGAUUUCAAACCUGGCCAUGAUAGUACCAUGCAUCUUACUGAACUAAGUAUUAUAUUUCAAAUUUAAUAGAACGCCUGUAAAUUGCUCUGGUGGAUGAAUAUGAUUCUCCAUAUGAAUACACUCUUUCUCAGAACAACACAAACCCAUGGCAAAACAAAUAAGAAAUUAUCUGGACAACUUAUCGGAAUGAUGAAAAACGAUGGUAGAAGAGUCGGUUUUUUAUUUAUUAUGGGCACUUCCAAAUUAAUUAUGGGAGUUUUUCAAAGCAGUGCCAAUAAUACCUAUAGUGGAUGAAACUUACAAUCCGGAAUAUGCCGAAGCCUUCGGUUUCACUGAAGAGGAGAUUACGGAGCACUUAGGACUCUACAAUGACGAGUUUGCAAAGAAUGUGUCGCUUCGGGAAUGGGAUCCAUCAAACUUGUUUUAAUCCAGUAGCAAUCAAAUCUUUUGUUUGGUAAGUAUGCUAGAGAAGGUUGAUACUGAGUUAAAUAUCCGAUGAGAGUUAUUAUUUGGGUCAAAGUGGUAACCAUCAUACCAGUAUUUCAGGGACUCCACGAUGAACUCAUCAUGGAUUCUCUGAAAUACUGGUAUGAUGGUAACCAAUUUGACCCAAAUAAUUUAACCCAGUAAGGCGACGUGCUAGCGUUGCCACCCCACCCUCCCUCGGUUUCCAGCGCAUCAUGAAACAAGUAAACUGUGAGUGGCCGGCAACAUCCGAGGAGUUACAUUCUGUAACACUACUGUAUUUAAUAAAGCGCGCUCUUUCGCGAGUUUCAAACGCGAUUUUCUCAAAAACUAUGCGUUUAUUCAAAAAACCGCAAGAAGACUUAUUUUCUUAUUUUUCAAAGACCUUUCAGAAUAUAUGUAUAAGAAUAGUUUUUGUACGAUAAAAAUUCGCGAAGUUUCAAGUACCUUACCUAACUUGUUUUUCGUCAUUUUGGCAAAAUUCUUGUUCAACACCCACUCAAGUUCGAAGGAUUGGCCAAACCAAUUUUGAUGAAAUUUCGAAUAUACUUAGCUGUGAUUUAUUGACCACUACAAAAUUGACCCGGCACCUCCCUUUUCAGUUUUUGGGCCCCAAAAACUCUCAAAAUUGACCCAAAAUAUCAAAAGGAGAGCUUUGUAGCCCAAUUGCAUCAAGCGUGAGCUGAGUCUAAAGAUGCUGAAAAUGAAAAAUGACCUAUUUUGAAAAAAUGAUGAGUAUAUUUAUUAAAAGUACAACUAAACCAGAGCUGGGAUAGAUGUACAUAUGUAUAUCAAGAGGCACUUCUACGAUUUUCAAAGUAUAUUUGAACAAAAUUUCAGCUUGAUUUGUGCCCUAUUUGGUUUUUCACUUCUGGAAAUACAAAUUUUCGUUUUUUUUUUCAAAAUUAAAAUUUUUAAAAACUUGACAUUUAAAUUCCAAAAUUUUGAAGCCAAAAAAAUGAACAAAUUUCUGAAAAACACAUCGUUUUUCACCUCUUGAAUUUUUGAAUGUUUUUUCACUCGCAUCACUCAGCUAUUUUUUUAUCCCUUUCCUAAACCAGAAAAUUCCAUUUUGAAACUUCAAAAAAUUCAAAAAGGAAAAUAACAAUUUUUAAUAGGUAUUUAUUUGUAGGUACCUUAUCAAUUGGUAAACUUGUCAUUUCAUCUCUCAUUUCAUUUUAAAAAGAGAAGAAUUAUUACACAUGAGGCGAAAUAUUGAAAGAAAAUGGUACACAUGACCAAAUUAUUUAGGCAUUUAUUUCGAUAUAACAUCCCGAUCUCGGAAAUUGAUACCAAUUUGAUACAAGGAGAAAAAUUACUGUUCUGAUACUGUUUUGAAACGGAUUUUUUUUUUUAAAUAUGAAUCGUGUUUGAUGCAGUAUUGAGGCAAUAAUGAAACCGUUUUCCAAAGAUAGUAUCAAAAUGGUUUCUGUACAGUUUUGAUACUAUCUUUGGAAAACGGUUUCAUUAUUGCCUCAACACUGCAUCAAAAACGAUUCAUAUUCAAAUUUGUUUUCGUUUCAAAACAGUAUCAAAACAGUAGUUUUUCUCCUCGUACUCGUAUAUCAAUACAAAAAUGAUACGAGUAUAAAUAUUCCGCCACGUGGAACAUUUACUUUGAACAAAAAUAUGGCUACUUGAAUCAUAAACCGAACGUUUCGGCACAUUAGUUGCCUUUAUCAUUCAUAAACCAGACACUCUGUUGCGAUAUACAUAUUGCCUUAGAAAACUGUUCAUUCUAAUUUCGAAAAAAAAACUUGAUGCAAUAUAAUUUUGAAAAAUUUAGAUAAUUGAUUUAAAAUUGAUUCAAUCAAAUCAAAGGAUUAGAAUGUUCUGCAAAAACUUGGAAAAUUUUUGUUCUUUGUUUUUUUUGUACUUUUUUUCCAUGUUAAAAUAUAAGUAUGUAAAACGUUACGUUUUUGUGAAAUACAAUUUUAUAAAUUUUUUAUUUGCACAAUUACAUUGUUGGUACUUCA